UUCUUCCUUUUCUUCUUUCUUUUUUCAGUUGUAAUUUUUAUGAUUAAUAUUCUCAGAUCUAAAGAUCUGAAAAUAGUUUCCGAUUUCUAAGCAGAAAAAGUUGGUUUCCGAAACCAGUCCGGGUCAUCUAAGAUCAAACUCCGUUCAAUUCCGAUCAUCCGGAGAGGGUAUCAUCGUGCACGCGGCCAUGGAUUGCCCCAAGGAGUUCAAAUUGAGGAGGGAUCGAAUUGCAGAGAUGCAAAGCCACUAGUUGAAUUGUCUUUGCCCGUAACAGCCCGGAUGAUCGGGCGGAUAUCGUGCGUAGCUCGUGCGGAGAUGGAGAUGAAUGUGAAGCAGGUCAGCAAUGGAGAUGAAUGUGAAGCAGGUCCAGCCCACUACUGGCAAUGUUUCUCCAUUUACAGAGCUGCUCCAACAUAGACUCUCUAUAUAUUUGAUAUCAUAAUUUCUAUUGUUUUAUUUACAAAACUUAAAUCUGAUGUUAUAUUAUAAAAGAAUUGCUUUUUUUUUUUACUCGAAUUACAAUUUGUUGACUUUACCAUACCGUGCUCCAUGGUUUAAAUUUGACUUGCAAGUUAUUUGAA